rnacentral:rRNA from 1 species
UACGAAGGGGGCUAGCGUUGUUCGGAAUUACUGGGCGUAAAGCGCGUGUAGGCGGUUGCCUUAGUCAGGUGUGAAAGCCUUGAGCUUAACUCAAGAAAUGCACUUGAUACUGGGCGACUAGAGGACCGGAGAGGAUAGUGGAAUUCCCAGUGUAGUGGUGAAAUACGUAGAGAUUGGGAAGAACACCAGUGGCGAAGGCGGCUAUCUGGACGGUUACUGACGCUAAGACGCGAAAGCGUGGGGAGCAAACAGG